GGGGCACUAGAUUUAUAUAUAUAUAUAUAUAUAUAUCUGUGAUUCGGCAAGUAGUUUGUGCCAUUCUGCAAAAAGAUAUUUAGUGUUAGACAGACCACUUCACUAGCAAGGAAAAGAAGAUGAAGAUUUCCAUUACCUGUACCAUGCUGAUUAUGUUAGCAGUGGUGACUUUAGCAAGUUCGAGAUCCUUGGAAGAAGCAAAAAGAGAUGGAAUUCCUUGUUUGAGGGGAAAGGACUGCACAUCAUGUGGAAUGUUAGAUUACUGUUGCCCGGGUGAUUGCUACAAAUUUCAGACAAUCACACCAACAGAUUGUACCUGUCCUUCCACUUAAUGAAUUGUUUAUAUAUAAAUGAAUAUUCUUUGG